GGUCUGCAGCUCAGAGGUAAGAGCAUCUGCUUUGAAUGCAGAAGGUCCCAGGUUCAAUCCCCAUAGAAUUGUAGAGUU